UUAAAGGACCACUCUAGGCACCCAGACCACUUCCGCUUAAUGAAGUGGUCUGGGUGCCAGGUCCCUCUAGGAUUAACCCUUUUUUUUUAUAAACAUAGCAGUUUCAGAGAAAACUGCUAUGUUUAUAAAUGGGUUAAUCCAGCCUCCAAAUCCUCUAGUGGCUGUCUCAUUGACAGCCGCUAGAGGCGUUUGCGUGCUUCUCACUGUGAAAAUCACAGUGAGAACACGCAAGCGUCCAUAGGAAAGCAUUGUAAAUGCUUUCCUAUGAGAC
rnacentral:lncRNA from 1 species